GCCCUGCGCGCGCGCUCCCGCCCCCUCAGCGCGAACAAAGGGCGCGGGCGGGCGGAGCGAGGAGGGUUCGCGGCCGCCCCGCCGGCCCUGCAGGCCGGGAAGGGGAAAAAAAAAAAAAAAAAAAGGCUGCGAGAGCCUCGUGGGUAACGAAAAAAAAAAAAAAAGGCACGGAACUGCCCCGCGGCUGGUGGUGCGGGAGCAGAGGGGCUGGCACGGAGCGCAGGACGGGCACAGACGCGGGGCCCCCUCACCGCGUGGAACACUGGGCCUCACAUAAACCAGGCAGGAGAGAUGUUUCCAGGAUGGGAUCAUUUCACACCAGAACUCAUAUACUGAAACCCUAAUUAAUAUUGAAAAGUCUGUGCUCUGCCAUGUCCUCAAAUCCAUGGAAUUGGGGUAAGGAAACUGAACCAUCCAAUGUGUGUCUCCCACACGUCCACAGAGCUAAUGCUUCCACCACACCUCUCCUUUUGUGAAAAUACAACUGUUGCAACAGUU